ACGGGAGGCAGCAGUGGGGGAUAUUGGACAAUGGGGGAAACCCUGAUCCAGCGACGCCGCGUGAGUGAAGAAGUAUUUCGGUAUGUAAAGCUCUAUCAGCAGGGAAGAAAAAGCGCAAGCAUUGACUGUACCUGACUAAGAAGCCCCGGCUAACUACGUGCCAGCAGCCGCGGUAAUACGUAGGGGGCAAGCGUUAUCCGGAUUUACUGGGUGUAAAGGGAGCGCAGGCGGCCAUGCAAGUCAGAAGUGAAGGCCCGGGGCUCAACCCCGGGACUGCUUUUGAAACUGUAAGGCUAGAUUGCCGGAGAGGUAAGCGGAAUUCCUAGUGUAGCGGUGAAAUGCGUAGAUAUUAGGAGGAACACCAGUGGCGAAGGCGGCUUACUGGACGGUAAAUGACGCUCAGGCUCGAAAGCGUGGGGAGCAAACAGGAUUAGAUACCCUGGUA
rnacentral:rRNA from 1 species